UACGUAGGGUGCAAGCGUUAAUCGGAAUUACUGGGCGUAAAGCGUGCGCAGGCGGUUUUGUAAGUCUGAUGUGAAAUCCCCGGGCUCAACCUGGGAAUUGCAUUGGAGACUGCAAGGCUAGAAUCUGGCAGAGGGGGGUAGAAUUCCACGUGUAGCAGUGAAAUGCGUAGAGAUGUGGAGGAACACCGAUGGCGAAGGCAGCCCCCUGGGUCAAGAUUGACGCUGAGGAGCGAAAGCAUGGGGAGCGAACAGG
rnacentral:rRNA from 1 species